rnacentral:rRNA from 1 species
GAUGAACGCUGGCGGCGUGCUUAACACAUGCAAGUCGAACGGAAAGGCCCAAGCUUGCUUGGGUACUCGAGUGGCGAACGGGUGAGUAACACGUGGGUGAUCUGCCCUGCACUUCGGGAUAAGCCUGGGAAACUGGGUCUAAUACCGGAUAGGACCACAUUUUGGAUGGUGUGGUGGAAAGUUUUUCGGUGUGGGAUGAGCUCGCGGCCUAUCAGCUUGUUGGUGGGGUAAUGGCCUACCAAGGCGUCGACGGGUAGCCGGCCUGAGAGGGGGUACGGCCACAUUGGGACUGAGAUACGGCGCAGACUCCUACGGGGGGCAGCAGUGGGGAAGAUUGUACAAUGGGCGCAAGCCUGAUGCAGCGACGCCGCGUGGGGGAUGACGGCCUUCGGGUUGUAAACUCCUUUCGCUAGGGACAAAGCGUUUUUGUGACGGUACCUGGAGAAGAAGCACCGGCUAACUACGUG